rnacentral:rRNA from 1 species
GAACGAACGCUGGCGGCAUGCCUAACACAUGCAAGUCGAACGAGACCUUCGGGUCUAGUGGCGCGACGGGUGCGUAACACGUGGGAAUUUGCCUCGGGGUAUGGAAUAACUCAGGGAAACUUGAGCUAAUACCAUAUAAUGUCUUCGGACCAAAGAUUUAUCGCCCUGAGAUAAGCCCGCGUAGGAUUAGCUAGUUGGUGAGGUAAAGGCUCACCAAGGCGACGAUCCUUAGCUGGUCUGAGAGGAUGAUCAGCCACACUGGGACUGAGACACGGCCCAGACUCCUACGGGAGGCAGCAGUGGGGGAAUAUUGGACAAUGGGCGAAAGCCUGAUCCAGCAAUGCCGCGUGAGUGAUGAAGGCCUUCGGGUUGUAAAGCUCUUUUACUCGGGACGAUAAUGACGGUACCGAGAGAAUAAGCCCCGGCUAACUCCGUG